rnacentral:rRNA from 1 species
UACGUAGGGGGCAAGCGUUGUCCGGAAUCAUUGGGCGUAAAGAGCGUGUAGGCGGCUCGAUAAGUCUGCUGUGAAAGUCCAGGGCUCAACCCUGGAAGGCCGGUGGAAACUGUCGGGCUAGAGUCCGGAAGAGGCGAGUGGAAUUCCCGGUGUAGCGGUGAAAUGCGCAGAUAUCGGGAGGAACACCAAUGGCGAAGGCAGCUCGCUGGGACAGUACUGACGCUGAGGUGCGAAAGCGUGGGGAGCAAACAGG